CAUUACCAUCUUUUAGCCUCUCCGUUUUCGAGGAGGAGACCAGGAUCAUGCAGGCAGUUCACAGGCAGCACAGCGAGGAUCCAGGAGGAGCCAGCUCCAAGGUCCUUGACAUUGGGAGUCCUCUAUGUCUCAGGAACGCACACGACUGAUCUAAUCAAUAAUGCCCACUGUGCUGGCUUGGGGGUUCCCUCAUCGCACCUGGCAGCAUAGAUUCGAACCCCAGACUCCCACGAGAACUGGCGCUAUGAAAUCGUGUGCAUUAGUCCUGGAUGACCUGGGGCUGACAUUCACUUGCUGACUUUGGAUUGCCCCGCCUUGACUGGAGAUCUGAUGCAGAUCUGAGCCUGGAUGCGAGAGAAUGCCAUUUCAGCCACACUUCCGCUCAGUCCACUCCCCGUGGUGUGUUCAUGCAUGUGACUAUGCCGUAGCAUUUUGUCCUAUACGGUUUCCUAGAAGUGAGUAGAAAAUGGAUAAAUGCAAAACCUGGCGUGGGAACAACAGAUGUCCAAAUCUUGAUACAGUUGUGCCAAACAUGGAAACUACUUAGCGUGACCAAGGCUGGCCUCGGGGGUGCCGGCAAUCCCUCAACUCGAUUGUGUCCACUGUGUGCUCAACCAUGAGAAGACAGAACCAGACGGAGACGCAGACACACCAUGCUGACGUUAUAUUGUCCGAAAUGGUUUUUAAAAAGCCUCUGUCCACUGAAAGAAUCUAGAAGCAGGAGCAAUGAGACUGAUCACCCGCUGUCCAGAUCCUGCUUUCUAAGACCAUUACCCACCAACUCAACCUUUGUGGAGAAAUGGCUGAUUCCAGCUGUGAGGAACGUACAAGUAAGUCUGGGACAUUUUAUUGUUCUAAGAAGCAAGGAUGUGCCUAGUGGGGUCACGUCAAAAAGAUGCAGAAGCCGACUUGAAGAGACCCCUCUGGCUAAACUUGGGAUUGCUGAGCAUCAGUAAAAGGCUAUUGUUAUUAACAGAUAGGGGGAGAGGGAAAGAAGCCCUUCUUCACAGGAGAGUGCCCGCUGAGCAAUGUAGAAGCAAUGAUAAAGUUAGAAAGUCGCCAUUUGCAACCCCCAGUGUAAUUCUUGAUUUGGGCCGGGACCAUCAGUAAGUGCUAAAACCAGUGAGUGUUGGUGGAUAGGGUAUCUGCACAGCGACCAAGCAUCUCCCCCCAGACUACGUUCUAACUAAAACGGGGAAUGUACAUUUGAGAGAUUUGGUGGUCAUUGAGUUUAUCCCAGUUGACCAUCCUUAGCAUCAUUAAGUAACAGGACAACCACCUGGCCAGGAACCCAGGCCUCCUGAUGUAAGGUGAUGUGAGGAACACAGCAUCACCCAUGGAGUGUUCUUGCCAAAGACUUUAGCCUUUUAAGACCUCAACUGCCUGUGCACAGGAUUUACAGGGGACAGCAAGAUAUCUUGACAACAAGAUAAAACCAGGCAAAUCCACGGUGUGGGCCUUUCUAAAAGUCUCUCCAAAAGGCUGAUGUUAUGGGGUGGGGGAAAGCCAAGGCCAUUUUCGCGUGAGGAGACCUGAUACCCACGUGUCGUGUGGGAAACUUCCUAAGAUCCUUCUGAAAACAAACCAAAGAGCCAACAAACAAAAAGGAUGGAAGACAUGUUUGGGGCCAUUGGGAAGGGUGACUAUGGACUAGAGGCACAGCUUCAUGUCACUGCAGCGGCGGGGGAGAGGGGAGUGGAUUUGUCACUGUGUCCAAUGUCCUCGGAGCAGGUGGGAGCAGAACAACGAGGAGACAAGUAUCCUGUGCACCAUAACAGGUCUUCACUGAGGGAGGCAGCACUCGGAGGGGCCACCCUGCACCUGCCCAGCCCGGGACUGGCGUCUCCUUCCCUGCAUGCUGAAGCAGACCACUGGUCUCACCCCCAGGUCCUGGCCCAGCUGCAGAAUCUGGGGAGCGGGGAGAUGGGUGCUCAUUAUGUUAUUCUUCCCAUAUUUCUGCAUGUUUAAAAAUGGCGAAAUAAUCUGUAUGCCCAUCCGAGGACAAAUGCAAUGCAAUAUGAUUUAACCGUAAAAAGGAAUAAAG